rnacentral:piRNA from 1 species
CCCAAUCCUCACUCGGUGCACAUUAC